rnacentral:lncRNA from 1 species
UCUUGCCACUGUCACGUAAGAAGCGGUUUUUGCCUCCCACCGUGAUUGUGAGGCCUCCCCAGCCAUGUAGAAUUAGCCAGCCUGUUUUUGAUGAAGAGCAACUGUACUGGAGAGAAAGCCUGUAUUCAUAUUCAUCGUCAUCAGGCAAAUCAAGGAGCCGACUUGCUUGGGAUCACCAGUCACUGUUUCAGAGGACCAUUUACAGUCAUCACCUGGCAGCAUGCACGGGGCGAUUGGUUCCAGGACACCCCUGUAUCAAAACCCGCAGAUAUCAAAAUCCAGGGAUGCAUACCUCUCGGUCUGCUGGUUGAAUCCAUGGAUGCAGAACCCCAGAUUCAGAGGGCUGAACGUACUUUCGAUAGGUUCCUGAGCAGCAGCGAUUACAUUCACAGCAGACUGGACAGUUUGCUGAGCAAGUUCAGGGGCUGGCUUAGUGCUUCAUAGUUCUUUCUUCCUCCUCUCCCAACAGUUUUGUUUCAGCAGUGAUUUGGUCAAAUGUGAACCACAAACCAGCAGCAAAAGCAUUUUCUAGGAACUUGUUAAAACUGGAAGGCCCAAGGUUGCACUCAGGCUUACUGAGUCAGUCACUCCAAGUGGACCCAAUCCCUGAACCUUGAGACCCACUGCCCCUCUUUUGAUCUGGGAGAGAAACAGAAAAAAGAAGGAAAAAAAAUCCCCAAUGUGAGUAUGCUGGAAAGUAAAUUUGAAUAGCUUUUUAUAUUGGGUACUUACUGUGGGUAAUUUACAAACGAUUGGAAGCAACCACAAAUUAAAACACAGCCAAAUUUAAGGUCUCUUUAGCGGAAAUCAAUCUUACAUCAUGGCAGUUCUCCCAUACUCCAGUCUUUCACUUGAUAGAUCACUUCCUCAUUAGGAUGACCUCCACCAAUUCUACACAAACUGCUCUUUACGUUUAAACAGUGCUUUCUGUCCUAACAUGUCAAAAUGCUUGACAAGCAAUCAAAAGGUAGCUCACUAAUUUUUUCAACUCAUGG